UUUUCCUAAUGCUCGCAUGAAGCUUUUGGCAUCGAAAAUUUACAUAGGGCUCAUAAAUAUCGACUUUUUUCAUAUUGUUAUGCACAUUUUUUUUGAAAUUUCACGCGAUACUACAUUUACAACAGUUAAUCCACCCAUUGGAACGGUAUCUUGAAAGGUAAGCGUUAUUUUCCAGUUUAUUUUGACCUCUCACUUUAGGCACUAUGCCGUCGCGAUGUAAUUUAAUGGCGUUUCUGUCAACAAUCUUUGAAGACAAAAAUCUCAAAUUUCCACGGUUCGAUUUCGCUAUUUUUUCACGAUUAGUUAAACAAAAGUAUAAUCUUUAAUUCUAUCCAGCCGGCCCCCCUCGGUCCCGCAACCGUUUUCGAGAUAUUCACCGUUGAAUAUAGCCCUCUGUAAAAUAUGUUGCCUUGUCACUCAGAUCGAUCAUGAACUGCUAUUACUCGCUUUUUUCUAAAGAAGUGUGAUAUAUUAUAGAAGUUUCGAUAUAUUAUGGAUUGUAUAUAUUGCAGUUAAAGUGUGCAAAUAAUUAAAGCCCUUCCGUAACAAUAUUUUACAAGUGAAAUUUAUUGUUUGGCUGAUGUUUUAGAUUUGAGAUUUGUGAUUUUGGCUGGAUUCUAUUUUUGUCAAUGAUUUUGUCUGCAAGAAUUAAGCAUCAUCAUUAAAUUUGGAGGUAAAAUCGGUCCUUCCAGUCUGUACAGACCUUCUACAUCUGCAAGAUCUCCGAUGCUAUGAUUGUCUCUCCAUCGAGUGACCAAAACCUUGCUCACCUUUCUGGUUAUGUUAUUGGUAUGACUCUGGAUUUUCAAAACUAACCCAGCAACAACUAGCCUGUGAAAACAGCCUCUACUUUGCUGCUCCUAUUAAUAUAGGCUGUUUUCGCAGGCUAAGCAACAACCAGAAUAACUACUCAUCCACCUGUUUCAAAAAUGGCUGGUAAAAGUUAACCCUGGUUUAGAUGCUAAAUUUGUCACUCAAAAUUUAUUCCCACUAGUUGCCAAGGCUAUGUCUGUACUUCAUGCUGGCCAAAAAGACAAUCUGAUUUAUCACACUGCUCGAUGCUUUGGAGAACAACGCCAUGGAGAUGUUGGUCUGAUGUCAUUGGAUAGAAUGCCCUUUAUAGGAGUGAAUGCCCACUUGGCCUUUUUUUAACAGUAUUUUGUAAUGAUGUUACACAACUAAUUGAGAUAAAGUUUGAGAAAUGGUGGUUCUUUCAAUGAUAAGUCCCAGAGAGGGGGUGGGGUCGGGCAUAUGUGGGGCAUUUGACUUUUUGAGCAAAUUUUCAAUCAAAUGCCCCACUGUUAGGUAAUAAGUAUUGGUCAAACACCCCACCAUUUUGCAAUAAAUUGCAAUAAAUACUAUAUUAAUAAAAGUCAUUUUGGUUCAAAUUGCCCUAACUCAGGCCCAAAAUGCUAAUCAAAAUCCCCAGAGUGGGGAUGCAAUUGAUGAUCAAAUACCCCACAUAUGCCCAC
rnacentral:lncRNA from 1 species